UUUUUUUUUUAAAGCGCCCGCUGCUGUCUCGGCUGCCGCGGGCGAGAGCGGCCGAGUCCCCGCCCCGCCACUUCCGGUCCCGCCGCCGGGAGCCGGUGCGGCUGUGAGGGGCCGCGUCUCGCAGCAGCCGCCCGGACCGGGCAUGGUGUUGGGCGCCGGGCCCGCCUCGCCUGUCUCGGGGAGCCCAGGGUAAAGGCAGCAGUAAUGCUAACGCUAGCAAGUAAACUGAAGCGUGACGAUGGUCUCAAAGGGUCCCGGACGGCAGCCACAGCGUCCGACUCGACUCGGAGGGUUUCUGUGAGAGACAAAUUGCUUGUUAAAGAGGUUGCAGAACUUGAAGCUAAUUUACCUUGUACAUGUAAAGUGCAUUUUCCUGAUCCAAACAAGCUUCAUUGUUUUCAGCUAACAGUAACCCCAGUUUAUUGAGAGAACAUUCAAUUGAUGGCACUGGCUGGGCUCCCACAAGAACAUUAAAGGAUGUCGUUUGGGGAUUAAACUCUUUGUUUACUGAUCUUUUGAAUUUUGAUGAUCCACUGAAUAUUGAAGCUGCAGAACAUCAUUUGCGGGACAAGGUGAGAAUUCUAUUUGGUGCACGUGCUAUUGUGUCCGGAAUUGGUGGGUUCUUGGUCUCACUGACUUCAAGAAUGAAGCCGCGGACCCUCGCGGAAAGUUUAUAUGGACUAUAAUGCAACGACUCCCCUGGAGCCAGAAGUUAUCCAGGCCAUGACCAAGGCCAUGUGGGAAGCCUGGGGAAAUCCCAGCAGCCCGUAUUCAGCAGGAAGAAAGGCCAAGGAUAUUAUAAAUGCAGCUCGGGAAAGCCUCGCGAAGAUGAUAGGGGGGAAACCUCAAGAUAUAAUCUUCACUUCCGGGGGCACUGAGUCAAAUAAUUUAGUAAUCCAUUCUGUGGUGAAACAUUUCCACGCAAACCAGACCUCAAAGGGACACACAGGUGGGCACCACAGCCCAGUGAAGGGGGCCAAGCCCCAUUUCAUUACUUCCUCGGUGGAACACGACUCCAUCCGGCUGCCCCUGGAGCACCUGGUGGAAGAACAAGUGGCAGCGGUCACCUUUGUCCCGGUGUCCAAGGUGAGCGGGCAGGCAGAGGUGGACGACAUCCUCGCGGCAGUCCGCCCGACCACACGCCUCGUGACCAUCAUGCUGGCCAACAAUGAGACUGGCAUUGUCAUGCCUGUCCCUGAAAUCAGUCAGCGCAUUAAAGCCCUGAACCAGGAACGGGUGGCAGCUGGGCUACCUCCCAUCCUCGUGCACACGGAUGCUGCACAGGCCUUGGGGAAGCAGCGCGUGGAUGUGGAGGACCUGGGCGUGGACUUCCUUACAAUCGUGGGGCACAAGUUUUAUGGUCCCAGGAUUGGCGCACUUUAUAUACGAGGACUUGGUGAAUUUACCCCUCUCUACCCUAUGCUAUUUGGAGGUGGACAAGAACGGAAUUUCAGGCCAGGGACAGAGAACACCCCAAUGAUUGCUGGCCUUGGGAAGGCCGCGGAGCUGGUGACCCAGAACUGCGAGGCUUAUGAGGCCCACAUGAGGGACGUCCGCGACUACCUGGAAGAGAGGCUGGAAGCUGAAUUCGGUCAGAAGAGAAUCCAUCUGAAUAGCCAGUUUCCAGGCACCCAGCGGCUUCCCAAUACCUGUAACUUUUCCAUCCGGGGACCCCGGCUUCAAGGCCACGUGGUGCUUGCGCAGUGCCGAGUGCUGAUGGCCAGUGUGGGGGCCGCGUGCCACUCGGACCACGGGGACCAGCCGUCCCCAGUGCUGCUGAGCUACGGUGUCCCCUUCGACGUGGCCAGGAACGCGCUCCGGCUCAGCGUGGGCCGCAGCACCACCAGGGCCGAGGUGGACCUCGUCGUGCAGGACCUGAAGCAGGCCGUGGCGCAGCUGGAGGACCAGGCCUAGCACUGGGGCCGCCUUCCCCACCCCGCUUCUGGGAAGCCCGUGGCAGGGCACAGGGUUGUCCCUCCAGUUCCCUCCUGAGGGCUGUGCCAGGAUGACUGUCUCAUGCCCCCUCUGCAUUUUGUCCUGGAGUGCCAGCGAGUGUGCACCCCCAGUUUCCUUCCCUGGACCCCUGCAGAGCUCACAGGGCCCAGGACACCAACGCCGCAUAGGACUGCCCACAUGGGACCGCCCACAUAGGACCGCCCACAUAGGACCGCCCACAUGGGACCGCCCACAUGGGACCGCCCACAUGGGACCGCCCACAUAGAACCGUCCUCCAGUGGUGAAGCGGAAACACUUAGCUUUAUCCACCCUCCCCACUGGGAACUGGGCACGCCUGUUGUGAGUGCCCUUUCCUGGAAGGUGUUUUUAUCUGGAAGAUAGAAUCCAAGUAUUUAUAACUCAUUGUCAGCCAAAUGCUAUCAUGAACGUAGGAAACUUGAUUUUUUUGUUUUGAUCAUGGCCUCUACAUGCACCUUUCCAGAGUGGUCUCUUCUCAGGCCCUUUUUAGUCCCUUUCCAAAGCUGCCCCCACCACCCUGCUCCUCUGGCCUCAGUGCACAGUGGCCCCCAGCCUCGGCCAGGCCUGCUCUGCUCAGCGCCCACCGCCCACCACCCCUCCUGCUUCCCCGAGCCUGACCCUGUUCCGCCCACUGGCAAUCAGGGCUGCGCACUUCCCUGUCCACGGUCCCCAGGCCUUCCUGUCUUGUCCCUUUUGAUCAUUAUUAACUCAGGGUUUCAGCUCCAACCUCGCUGAGUUGGUGCAGCUCCAGGUCAUUCCUGGGGUGGGAAUCGGAUCAUCCCUGACUCAGCUUUUACCUUAAUUUUAUUUGCAGAGGAUUCUUUUCUCAAAAUGCUCUGGCAUUUGGACACACAUCACAUGUCGAUAUUUGCAUAGGAGUCAUUUUCAGUGGAAUAACAUUUUUAAUGUGUGGUUUUACGGUUCAAGGAACUACUUGAUGAUUUUGAGGAAACACUUGCCAGAAACUAAAUUAACGAAUAAAAGAUUUCAGUGCCCGA